AUUGAACGCUGGCGGCAGGCCUAACACAUGCAAGUCGAACGAGUGGCGGACGGGUGAGUAAUGUCUGGGAAACUGCCUGAUGGAGGGGGAUAACUACUGGAAACGGUAGCUAAUACCGCAUACCAUCAGAUGUGACACGAUGGGAUUGGAUUGUUGGGGGGGUAACGGCUCAACAAGGCGACGAUCCCUAGCUGGCCUGAGAGGAUGACAAGACACACUGGAACUGUGACACGGUCCAGACUCCGACGGGAGGCAGAAGGUGGGAAUAUUGCACAAUGGGCGCAAGCCGGAUGCAGCCAUGCCGCGUGGAUGAAGAAGGCCUUCGGGUUGUAAAGUACUUUCAGCGGGGAGGCGUUACCCGCAGAAGAAGCACCGACUAACUCCGUGCCAGCAGCCGCGGUAAUUC
rnacentral:rRNA from 1 species